UCGGUAUAUUCCAAUCCAUAAUUUUCACUCAAUCAGAAUUACCUCCCUUUGAAUGUUAGAUUAUUAGAUCCAUUCCACUACCCAGUGGUGGAUCCAGAAAUUUUCAUAAGUGAGGGCCCACUGCCUGCCUAAGAGGAGCCUGAUCUUGUCGCGCUUCAGUGAUUCUCUAUAUAAGCAACCAAAUUUUUUUUUAAAAGCCCCCCCCCACCCCCUUAAUCCAACUGUGCUACCUUCCUCAUUUGAAAGAUACAUCUUAAUGAGUCACUGAUGAGUUUAUGUAGAGGAAACACGCAUCUGGCAUAUUAAAUUAAUAAUCCUGGUACCUUUAAAUAUUAAGAUAUAUUUAUCUUUAAAAGGCCUUCUAAUCCCUUGAGUAAUACCUCAAUUGUGGGAGCACAUGGGUUUAUGGGGAAUGGGGAAUUAGUAUUUCAAUGAAUAUAAGAAAUGUAUAUAUUGCUUUAGAACAGACAUUCAGUCAUGUGAAUGUGCCAAGAACAUGUAUGGCAAAGGAGCAUUAUAAAUCUGUGUGGAUGUGUCAAGAACAUGUAUGGCAAAGGAGC
rnacentral:lncRNA from 1 species